GAUGAACGCUAGCGGCAGGCCUAACACAUGCAAGUCGAGGGGCAGCACAGAAACAGCAAUGUUUUGGUGGCGACCGGCGGACGGGUGCGUAACGCGUAUGCAACCUACCUUUAACAGGGGGAUAACGGAGAGAAAUUUCCACUAAUACCCCAUAACAUCGAUCAAGGCAUCUUGAUUGGUUGAAAACUCCGGUGGUUAAAGAUGGGCAUGCGUUGUAUUAGGUAGUUGGUGAGGUAAUGGCUCACCAAGCCUACGAUACAUAGGGGGGCUGAGAGGUUAGCCCCCCACACUGGUACUGAGACACGGACCAGACUCCUACGGGAGGCAGCAGUGAGGAAUAUUGGUCAAUGGGGGCAACCCUGAGCCAGCCAUGCCGCGUGCAGGAAGACGGCUCUAUGAGUUGUAAACUGCUUUUAAACAGGGAUAAAGCACAGUAUGUAUACUGUGUUGAAGGUACUGUAAGAAUAAGGAUCGGCUAACUCCGUGCCAGCCGCCGCAGUAA
rnacentral:rRNA from 1 species